rnacentral:rRNA from 1 species
CCUACGGGAGGCUGCAGUGGGGAAUAUUGGACAAUGGGCGAAAGCCUGAUCCAGCCAUGCCGCGUGUGUGAAGAAGGCCUUCGGGUUGUAAAGCACUUUCAGUGGGGAAGAAAGCCUUGGGGCUAAUACCCUCGAGGAAGGACAUCACCCACAGAAGAAGCACCGGCUAACUCCGUGCCAGCAGCCGCGGUAAUACGGAGGGUGCGAGCGUUAAUCGGAAUUACUGGGCGAAAGCGCGCGUAGGCGGUCUGAUAAGCCGGUUGUGAAAGCCCCGGGCUCAACCUGGGAACGGCAUCCGGAACUGUCAGGCUAGAGUGCAGGAGAGGAAGGUAGAAUUCCCGGUGUAGCGGUGAAAUGCGUAGAGAUCGGGAGGAAUACCAGUGGCGAAGGCGGCCUUCUGGACUGACACUGACGCUGAGGUGCGAAAGCGUGGGUAGCAAACAGGAUUAGAUACCCGGGUAGUC